GGUAUUUUGACCGUGCAAAGGUAGCAUAAUCAUUAGUUUUUUAAUUGAAAGCUGGAAUGAAAGGUUGGAUGAGAAAUAAGCUGUCUCUGUUUAAUUUUAUUAGAAUUUUAUUUUUAAGUAAAAAAGCUUAAAUUUUAAUAGAAGACGAGAAGACCCUAUAGAGUUUUAUUUAUUUAUAAAAUAAGAUUAAUGGUAUUAAUUAUUUUUAUUUUAUAUAUAAAUUUAAUUGGGGUGAUUGAAAAAUUUAAUAAACUUUUUUUAUAUGUAUACAUUGAUAUAUGAUUAAUUGAUCCUUAAUUUAAGAUUAAAAGAUAAAAUUACCUUAGGGAUAACAGCGUAAUUUUUUUUGAGAGUUCAAAUCGAAAAAAAAGAUUGCGACCUCGAUGUUGGAUUAAAAUAAAAUUUUGGUGUAGAAGCUAAAA
rnacentral:rRNA from 1 species